rnacentral:tRNA from 1 species
UCCCUGGUGGCUCAAAAGGUAAAGAAUCCACCUACAACGUGGGAUACCUAGGUUUGAUUCCUAGGUUGGGAA